rnacentral:misc_RNA from 1 species
CUCUCAAUUAUAGAAAGCACACUACUUUCUUCUUAUCAAAUAAGAAGAAUUUUGGUUGCGAUUGUUCUUUGAAAACUAGAUAACAGUAAUUGCUGAGGAAAAGUGAAACUUUUCUUUAAUCAAAUCAAUAAAUAACACAACAUUAUGUUGUACCAUUUAUUCGCUAAUGGUUAAGUUAGAAAGGGCGCACGGUGAAUGCCUUGGCACUAGGAGCCGAUGAAGGACGGGACUAACACCGAUAUGCUUCGGGGAGCUGUAAGUGAGCUUUGAUCCGGAGAUUUCCGAAUGGGGAAACCCG